rnacentral:rRNA from 1 species
CACGUAGGGGCCAAGCGUUGUCCGGAUUUAUUGGGCGUAAAGCGUGCGCAGGCGGUUUUGUAAGUCUGUCGUGAAAGCCCCGGGCUCAACCUGGGAAUUGCGAUGGAGACUGCAAGGCUUGAAUCUGGCAGAGGGGGGUAGAAUUCCACGUGUAGCAGUGAAAUGCGUAGAGAUGUGGAGGAACACCGAUGGCGAAGGCAGCCCCCUGGGUCAAGAUUGACGCUCAUGCACGAAAGCGUGGGGAGCAAACAGG